GGGCUUGUAGCUCAGGUGGUUAGAGCGCACGCCUGAUAAGCGUGAGGUCGAUGGUUCGAAUCCAUUCAAGCCCACCA
rnacentral:tRNA from 1 species